rnacentral:rRNA from 1 species
UACGGGGGGGGGCAAGCGUUUGUUCGGAAUUACUGGGCGUAAAGGGCUCGUAGGCGGCCAACUAAGUCAGACGUGAAAUCCCUCGGCUUAACCGGGGAACUGCGUCUGAUACUGGAUGGCUCGAGUUUGGGAGAGGGAUGCGGAAUUCCAGGUGUAGCGGUGAAAUGCGUAGAUAUCUGGAGGAACACCGGUGGCGAAGGCGGCAUCCUGGACCAACACUGACGCUGAUGAGCGAAAGCCAGGGGAGCAAACGGG